AGUUUCUGAAAAGGGGCACAAAAAAGCCGAGCUACACUAGGUUUGCUUCUUCUUUCCCCCUCUCUCUCUCUCUCUCUCUCUCUCUCUCUACAAAUCCUCUUCUUUCUCUGUAUAUUCGAACCUUGGGAUAAUCCACCACUGCCCUCGCUUUCACAACCAGUGUAUAGAAGUGUGAGAUGGUAUCUCUACCUUUAUCUUAUUACAUCCAAUAGAUUGAGUCCAAAAAAGGUCCCCUACUUCCAUUCGUUGCAAAUCACGGAGGAGCUCUCUUCGGCAACUUUGUGUUGAUAACCACACCUCUCCUUCCCUUUUCUCGUUUGAAGAUGGGAGUGGCAGAACAGUUCUGACAUGGAGGAGGAAACACUGCUGAUAGGAAUGGACAAGAAAUGCAACAGGGUUAAUUGCUCCAGCUAUUGUCGCAGGUUUAGGUGCCUUAACACAUACAUUGGGCACCCUCUUCCCUGUGAUAGGAGCAAGUGGAUUUGUUACAGCUGCAGCAACAACUGUUAUAGGAACUGUUGUCGAUAGUUUUAGAUAAUCUCUUAAUAGUUGUCGAUAUGUUUAGAAAGUUUGAUAUGCAUAGUUUUGGAUGGUUUAAACUUUUUGUACAGUUUAGAACUUAAGGAUAUAGUUUUCAAAUGUUUGGAAUGCAUAGACAAUUAUUGAAUGUUUAUAAUUUAUAGAUAUAGUUUCUUUUUGAUGUUUCAAACAA